UACGUAGGGGGCAAGCGUUGUCCGGAUUUAUUGGGCGUAAAGAGCGUGUAGGCGGCCUGGAAGGUCAGCUGUGAAAACUCGAGGCUCAACCUCGAGACGUCGGUUGAAACCACCUGGCUAGAGUCCGGAAGAGGAGUGUGGAAUUCCCGGUGUAGCGGUGGAAUGCGCAGAUAUCAGGAGGAACACCGGUGGCGAAGGCGGGUCUCUGGGCCGAUACUGACGCUGGAGGAGCGAAAGCGUGGGGAGCGAACAGG
rnacentral:rRNA from 1 species